rnacentral:lncRNA from 1 species
UCCAUCCUAUGAGUUGCAGCCUUUUAUCACUGAUUUUUGUCGUUGGUUUUUAUGUUGUUCUGUUUUACCACUGUCCGAGGUUAGGAGAGGGUUGGGAUCCCGCUAACAUGUUUAACACUGCCACAUUAUGUAUGCAUGUGUCUGACCUACGUCAGGAGCCUGUAAUUCAGUGGUUGUUUUUUUUCCCGCUGUGUUACAUAUAUUUGUUUUUGUGCAUUUUCUGUGUACAUUAAUUAGGUCGUUAGUAUUUAGUGACUUUAUAUGCUGUAUAAACUUUGCUGGUUAAUUGUUGGAGGCCGUACGGUUACCUGUAGCUGUUAAUUUCUGUGUCAUUGUAGUCUCUUGUGAACAGUUGUGUCAUUGUGAAUUAGACCACUUCUUAUUUUUAUAUAUACAAGCAGAUAUUUCAGUUAUUCAAUUUGAAUAAACUUGAAUAGUGAAUAGUGCAAAAAAACACAGUUCACUAUUCAUUAAUUU